rnacentral:rRNA from 1 species
UGGGAACGCGAAGAACCUUACCUGGACUUGACAUCCCCUGAAUAGAUUAGAGAUAAUUGAAGCCCUUCGGGGCAGGGAGACAGGUGGUGCAUGGUUGUCGUCAGCUCGUGUCGUGAGAUGUUAGGUUAAGUCCUGCAACGAGCGCAACCCUUGUCAUUAGUUGCUACCGGUAAGAUGAGCACUCUAAUGAGACUGCCGCGGUUAACGCGGAGGAAGGUGGGGAUGACGUCAAAUCAUCAUGCCCCUUAUGUCCAGGGCUACACACGUGCUACAAUGGGCAGUACAAUGAGACGCAAGCCCGCAAGGGGGAGCCAAACCAUAAAACUGUUCCCAGUUCGGAUUGCAGGCUGAAACCCGCCUGCAUGAAGUUGGAGUUGCUAGUAAUCGCAAAUCAGCAUGUUGCGGUGAAUACGUUCCCGGGUCUUGUACACACCG